CAGGCACCAGAUAGCUACUCUUGUAUUUACAAGAGAGGAAAGUCCGAGCACAGCCCUAUUUAUAGGGAGAAAGGUAGUGGGUAACGCCCACAUAUAGAAAUAUAUAGGUGCGAACAGAAACGACCCGGUUAAGUCCGGCUGAAACGGCUAAAUCCUUACCCCUGUGCAAGAUCGUGUCCUUCGGCAAGCUCAGGACUAGUCCCGAGUGGAAUCGAGGGGAGAAUCGCUUGAGGCUUAGAGUAAUCUAAGUCCUAGAUAAAUUGCUAUCGUCCUGUGCAAAAGCCCAGGAAACAGAACUCGGCUUACAAGUGCCUUAGCAUA
rnacentral:RNase_P_RNA from 1 species